rnacentral:rRNA from 1 species
UACGUAGGGUGCGAGCGUUGUCCGGAAUUAUUGGGCGUAAAGAGCUCGUAGGCGGUGUGUCGCGUCGGCCGUGAAAACCUGGGGCUCAACUCUGGGCGUGCGGUCGAUACGGGCAUCACUUGAGUUCGGCAGGGGAGACUGGAAUUCCUGGUGUAGCGGUGAAAUGCGCAGAUAUCAGGAGGAACACCGGUGGCGAAGGCGGGUCUCUGGGCCGAUAUUGACGCUGAGGAGCGAAAGCGUGGGGAGCGAACAGG